AUAUCAAUAAGCGGAGGAAAAGAAACCAACAGGGAUUGCCUCAGUAACGGCGAGUGAAGCGGCAACAGCUCAAAUUUGAAAUCUGACUUCGGUCCGAGUUGUAAUUUGCAGAGGGUAUUUGGAAAGCGACAUGGGCCUAAGUCCCUUGGAACAGGGUGUCACAGAGGGUGAGAACCCCGUACGUGGCCACAUGUCAGUUUCAUGUCAAAUCCCUUCGACGAGUCGAGUUGUUUGGGAAUGCAGCUCAAAAUGGGUGGUAAAUUUCAUCUAAAGCUAAAUACCGGCCAGAGACCGAUAGCGCACAAGUAGAGUGAUCGAAAGAUGAAAAGCACUUUGGAAAGAGAGUUAAACAGUACGUGAAAUUGUUGAAAGGGAAGCGCUUGCCAUUAGACCGAUUCAUGAGCUGCAGUCGGAGGCAACUCUUGACGUAAAGCACUCGUUUUUCGGCCAGCAUCAGUUUUGAUGGUUCGACAAAGACGUGGAGAACGUGGCUCUUCGGAGUGUUAUAGCUUCGCGUGUAAUGGAAUCUAUUGGGACUGAGGACCGCGCUUCGGCUAGGAUGCUGGCGUAAUGAUGGCAAGCGACCCGUCUUGAAACACGGACCAAGGAGUCGAUCAUCUAUGCAAGUGUUUGGGUGGAAAACCCAUACGCGGAAUGAAAGUGAACGGAGGUGAGAACCGUAAGGUGCAUCAUCGACCGAUCCUGAUGUCUUCGGAUGGAUUUGAGUAUGAGCAUAGCCGAUCGGACCCGAAAGAUGGUGAACUAUACGUGAAUAGGGUGAAGCCAGAGGAAACUCUGGUGGAGGCUCGCAGCGGUUCUGACGUGCAAAUCGAUCGUCAAAUUUGCGUAUAGGGGCGAAAGACCAAUCGAACUAUCUAGUAGCUGGUUCCUGC
rnacentral:rRNA from 1 species